AAGAAAUGAACGUCGACUAAGAGCCGCCACGUCCAUGUGGCGAACAUCGACGCCAGCCCAUCCUGGGCA
rnacentral:sRNA from 1 species